rnacentral:rRNA from 1 species
GGCCUUUUGAUUAUAAUUUAAGGUCUGGCCUGCCCAAUGAGUAGAGUUUAAUGGCCGCGGUAUUUUGACCGUGCAAAGGUAGCAUAAUCAUUAGUUUUUUAAUUGAAAGCUUGUAUGAAGGGUUUGAUGAGAAAAAAGCUGUCUCUAUUUAAAUUUAUUAGAAUUUUAUUUUUAAGUUAAAAAGCUUAAAUAUUUAUAAAAGACGAGAAGACCCUAUAGAGUUUUAUAUUUUUUAGGUUUAGUAUAUUUAGGAAUAUUUAAUACUAAUCUGGUAAAGUAUUUAGUUGGGGUGAUUAAAAAAUUUAAUAAACUUUUUUUAUAUUAAGAACAUUUAUUUAUGAAUAUUUGAUCCUUUAUUUAAGAUUAAAAGAAUAAAUUACCUUAGGGAUAACAGCGUAAUCUUUUUUUAGAGUUCAAAUCAAAAGAAGGGAUUGCGACCUCGAUGUUGGAUUAAAAGAAAAUAUUGGUGUAGAAGCUAAUAGUUUAGGUCUGUUCGACCUUUAAAAUUUUACAUGAUCUGAGUUUAAACCGGUGUGAG